rnacentral:rRNA from 1 species
AUUGAACGCUGGCGGCAUGCCUUACACAUGCAAGUCGAACGGUAACGCGGGGCAACCUGGCGACGAGUGGCGAACGGGUGAGUAAUGCAUCGGAACGUGCCCAGUAGUGGGGGAUAGCCCGGCGAAAGCCGGAGUAAUACCGCAUACGACCUACGGGUGAAAGCGGGGGACCGUAAGGCCUCGCGCUAUUGGAGCGGCCGAUGUCAGAUUAGGUUGUUGGUGGGGUAAAAGCCUACCAAGCCGACGAUCUGUAGCUGGUCUGAGAGGACAACCAGCCACACUGGGACUGAGACACGGCCCGGACACCUACGGGAGGCAGCAGUGGGGAAUUUUGGACAAUGGGGGCAACCCUGAUCCAGCCAUGCCGCGUGCGGGAAGAAGGCCGUCGGGUUGUAAACCGCUUUUGUCAGGGAAGAAACGCUCUGGACUAAUACCCCGGGGUAAUGACGGUACCUGAAGAAUAAGCACCGGCUAACUACGUGCCAGCCGCCGCCGUAACAC